UACGUAGGGUGCAAGCGUUGUCCGGAAUUAUUGGGCGUAAAGAGCUCGUAGGCGGUUUGUCGCGUCUGCUGUGAAAACUCGGGGCUUAACUCCGGGCCUGCAGUGGGUACGGGCAGACUAGAGUGCGGUAGGGGAGACUGGAAUUCCUGGUGUAGCGGUGAAAUGCGCAGAUAUCAGGAGGAACACCGGUGGCGAAGGCGGGUCUCUGGGCCGUAACUGACGCUGAGGAGCGAAGCGUGGGGAGCGAACAGG
rnacentral:rRNA from 1 species